UACAGAGGUCCCGAGCGUUGUUCGGAUUCACUGGGCGUAAAGGGUGCGCAGGUGGGUUGGCAAGUUUGAUGUGAAAGCCCCGGGCUUAACCCGGGAAUGGCAUUGAAUACUGCUGAUCUGGAGGAUCGGAGGGGGGACUGGAAUUCUUGGUGUAGCAGUGAAAUGCGUAGAUAUCAAGAGGAACACCAGUGGCGAAGGCGAGUCAAUGGACGAUACCUGACACUGAGGCACGAAAGCCGGGGGAGCAAACAGG
rnacentral:rRNA from 1 species